rnacentral:sRNA from 1 species
CAGUGCCCAGAGAGGGGGUGCAGGCUGAGGAGCUGCCCAGAGCACCGCUCACACUCCCAGAGUACCUGAAGUCGGCAUUUCAAUGACAGGUGACAAGGGUCCCCAAAGGCUAAGCGGGUCCAGCUAUGGUUCCAUCUCCAGCCCGACCAGCCCGACCAGCCCAGGGCCACAGCAAGCACCUCCCAGAGAGACCUACCUGAGUGAGAAGAUCCCCAUCCCAGACACAAAACCGGGCACCUUCAGCCUGCGGAAGCUAUGGGCCUUCACGGGGCCUGGCUUCCUCAUGAGCAUUGCUUUCCUGGACCCAGGAAACAUCGAGUCAGAUCUUCAGACUGGCGCCGUGGCGGGAUUCAAACUUCUCUGGGUGCUGCUCUGGGCCACGGUGUUGGGCUUGCUCUGCCAGCGACUGGCUGCACGUCUGGGCGUGGUGACAGGCAAGGACUUGGGCGAGGUCUGCCAUCUCUACUACCCUAAGGUGCCCCGCACCGUCCUCUGGCUGACCAUCGAGCUAGCCAUUGUGGGCUCCGACAUGCAGGAAGUCAUCGGCACGGCCAUUGCAUUCAAUCUGCUCUCAGCUGGACGGUACCACCCCAGUGUACCCCAACUCUUCAGGCCAGGCAGAGAACAGCUGCUGCUACUUCCCCCCACCCAGUCCCUCCCAGAGUCUAUUUUAUCCUGCUGUCCCCUCUGAAGCAGGGCUGCUGCCCUGUUUUCCAGAAAUGUAAAGUGACUUGUCUAAAGUCACACAGAUGUGAGUCAUGCAGGACUUUGGGACUGCAGCCCUAAACUCCCUGCUGCGCCGGGUGCCAGGUCUCUCCUCUAGCUCUGCCCUACCUCGACUGUUCUAUGCCACACUCCCACUCCCCUUGCCCUAGCUGUCUGGGGGCGCUUAGGGUCCUGCUCCCAGGAGGCCAGAUUCCUGUCUCCAGCCCUGAGGCUCCGUAGGAGUUAGAGACCCCUGGACCAGGCUGGG